rnacentral:rRNA from 1 species
AUUGAACGCUGGCGGCAGGCUUAACACAUGCAAGUCGAGCGGGGUGAUGGUGCUUGCACUAUCACUUAGCGGCGGACGGGUGAGUAAUGCUUAGGAAUCUGCCUAUUAGUGGGGGACAACAUCUCGAAAGGGAUGCUAAUACCGCAUACGUCCUACGGGAGAAAGCAGGGGAUCACUUGUGACCUUGCGCUAAUAGAUGAGCCUAAGUCGGAUUAGCUAGUUGGUGGGGUAAAGGCCUACCAAGGCGACGAUCUGUAGCGGGUCUGAGAGGAUGAUGCGCCACACUGGGACUGAGACACGGCCCAGAGUCCUACGGGAGGCAGCAGUGGGGAAUAUUGGACAAUGGGGGGAACACUGAUCCAGCCAUGCCGCGUGUGUGAAGAAGGCCUUAUGGUUGUAAAGCACUUUAAGCGAGGAGGAGGCUACUUUAGUUAAUACCUAGAGAUAGUGGACGUUACUCGCAGAAUAAGCACCGGCUAACCCUGUGCCAGCCGCCGCCGUAA